CGCGGGCCGGGGAGGCGGGGAGCCCCCCACUCCCAGGCCGGAGAAAACCCAAGAAGCUAGGUGGGCGGCAACAAACCGUAACUCCCGACAUUGCCAGGCAACAGCCAUUCAGUUCGGUUGCUGGGACACGCGUCACCAUGGCGACGGCUCCGCGCCGCGCAGUCUGAGUAUUUAAAGAGCAAGCGCGCGCAACGCCCGGGCGUCGGAAAGCGGCCUUCCGGGACUCCGCGAACUCCACUCUCCCUACCCCCUCCCCUUUACCAUUCCCUUUGCCUUCCGGGCGCCAAGUCUCUCUGGGCUCCAAGGUGAACCCAGCUUCCCAGCGCGCCCCGUGUUCCCGGGUCGGGCCAGCUUCAGGCGAUGGGGAGCGGGAUCCCGGGCCCCGGGCGGGCGGGAGGGACGGGACGCGGUGCAGUGUUGUUCUUUCCCCUGCCAAUAUUGCACUCGUCCCGGCCUCCGGCCCCCCCGGCCCCCCGGCCUCCACCUACCCCCAGCGGAGCAGCCCCCGCCCUCCUGGCUCCCCAUCCCGGCGGAUCUCUGAUAGACUGGAGUGUUGCGGCUGCCACCGUGCUUGUGUCUGCAGUGAGAAGGGAGAUGGAGAGAAGCGGCUGCAGUCCCCACCCAUGGAGAGGCCACUGGCUCCCUCGGUAGCCCUGUCUGAUAGCACCUGCCCAUCCCAGUGCCCCGAGUACCUGGUUGAGCACAACCCAGUUUGGGUCAAUCUGAGCAUCACCCUCAGGAUCCAGGACGACGGUCUGAUAGGCCCGAAAAUCCGGCUUGCUGCCUCCCUCUGGGCAAAGGCAACACCAGUCUAACGCACUCUGGGUCCCCAUGCUUACCAUCUGAGUCCUUCUGAUUGGGAUUGGGUACCAGGCGACAGUUAUCAGGACCAGGAGGCACAUAAUCUGGGAUGCCAUCAUUGUCAUCAUCACCAUCACACUCAUCUCCAAAUCCAUCGUUGUCUGAGUCCAGCUGAGAGCUAUUCGGCAGCUGUGGGCAGUUGUCCUUGGUGUCCUGAUGCCCAUCCCCAUCGCUGCUCAGAAGAACAAGAACCAAAUAAAGGCUUUAAAGGUA